rnacentral:rRNA from 1 species
AGCGAACGCUGGCGGCAGGCUUAACACAUGCAAGUCGAACGGGCGUGGCAAUACGUCAGUGGCAGACGGGUGAGUAACACGUGGGAACGUACCCUUUGGUUCGGAACAACACAGGGAAACUUGUGCUAAUACCGGAUAAGCCCUUACGGGGAAAGAUUUAUCGCCGAAGGAUCGGCCCGCGUCUGAUUAGCUUGUUGGUGAGGUAAUGGCUCACCAAGGCGACGAUCAGUAGCUGGUCUGAGAGGAUGAUCAGCCACACUGGGACUGAGACACGGCCCAGACUCCUACGGGAGGCAGCAGUGGGGAAUAUUGGACAAUGGGCGCAAGCCUGAUCCAGCCAUGCCGCGUGAGUGAUGAAGGCCCUAGGGUUGUAAAGCUCUUUUGGCGGGGAAGAUAAUGACGGUACCCGCAGAAUAAGCCCCGGCUAACUUCGUG